UGUUGACUUUAAAAAAGUAUAAGCCCAAGGGAAGGGCAGUCCUCCAGCCAUGGUUCCCUAGAGGUUUCCUCCACAGGGGGUUUUCCUCUCCUGAGUGCUGGAGG